UACAGAGGAUGCAAGCGUUAUCCGGAAUGAUUGGGCGUAAAGCGUCUGUAGGUGGCUUUUUAAGUCCGCCGUCAAAUCCCAGGGCUCAACUCUGGACAGGCGGUGGAAACUACCAAGCUGGAGUACGGUAGGGGCGUGCGGAACUGUGGGUGGAGGCGGUGAAAUGCGUUGAUAUCCACAGGAACUCCGGUGGCGAAAGCGGCGCGCUGGACCUCUUCUGACGCUGAGGCGCGAAAGCUAGGGGAGCAAACGGG
rnacentral:rRNA from 1 species